rnacentral:lncRNA from 1 species
GAGGGGUGGUCUCCUCUCUCAGGUAUAAACUAAAGGUACCAAUUUGGAAGUAAUUGUAUACCGAGUACUUAACACCAUGAGAUGGGAUGAGACCACCAAAUCAAAAAUAGAAAAGAGAAGAGCCACAAGGGCUGGUUUCUAUGGCACACUCACUAAAAGCUCAGAAAUAUGAGGAGGAACGAGGAAAGUUCAAGGACACAAGGAAGAAUAAGCAAAAGUAACUAAGAGGGAGUGAGCAGAGAAGCAAGAGAAAAAGCAAGAAUAUCACAGCGACCAAACAAGAGACAAAAAGAAAGAGAAGGUGGUCAGUUGAGUCAGGAAUGAUCCAAAUAGAGAAAAAUCUUAUGACGGACAGAGAGAAAUGCUGAAUCAAGGCCCUUCAGUCAGUGAGAGGAUGAGAUCUGGUACACAACUAGAGAGACUUCAUUCUCAGAAAUGUGACUUUCAUUCACAAUCAGCCAAAUACUUGAGGUAGCAUGAGAAGAACAGAGGGAUUCCUGUCUUCCAAGAAUCUACUAAUCUUUGCCUAAACCAAGCCAUACCACUGCAGUCACUUCUCUCCCUGCUGUUUCGUUCUCCGACAUCUCUGUCCUCAAACAGUCCACAGUAGUGCAUCUCCUCAGACUGGCUCAGUGCAUUUGAAUUGGUGAUACAUUAACUGACCUCCAGUUUCACCUCAAGAAGUUUUUGGAGAAGAGUUCACAGAUACCUCAAGAUACACAUCCCAGGGCUGGGGAUUUAGCUCAAUGGUUCCACUGCCUGCCUCGCAAGCGGAAGGACCUGAGUUCGACCCCCAGUACCAAAAAACAAAACAAAACAAAGACACACAUCCCAGGAAACCUAACCCUUUGGGAUUCUCAAAGUGGGUUGAAUUAUGAACUCAUGAUUAUAACUUUUAAAUUAAAUUUGUGGUAUUACUGUAAAUAAUCCUUGAGCAAUGAUGAAGGCUACUCCUAAGACAAAUAUUCCACUAAUCAG